rnacentral:rRNA from 1 species
CGUGUAGGCGGCUAAGCAAGUCAGGGGUGAAAGGCCUGGGCUCAACCUGGGAACUGCCUUUGAAACUGUUUGGCUUGAGACCGGAAGAGGAUGGCGGAAUUCCCAGUGUAGAGGUGAAAUUCGUAGAUAUUGGGAAGAACACCGGUGGCGAAGGCGGCCAUCUGGUCCGGAUCUGACGCUGAGGCGCGAAAGCGUGGGGAGCAAACA